rnacentral:tRNA from 1 species
UGUAUUGUGGCGCAGUGGUUGGAGUGUUGGACUGCAACUCUGGAGACCAGGGUUUGAUUCCCAGCUUGGCCA